GAUCAUGGCUCAGGACGAACGCUGGCGGCGUGCCUAACACAUGCAAGUCGAGCGAUGAAACCUUAACAGACUCCUUCGGGAUGAAGACUAGGUGGAUUAGCGGCGGACGGGUGAGUAACACGUGAGUAACCUGCCUUUGACACAGGGAUAGCCAUGGGAAACCGUGAUUAAUACCAGAUGAAAUCUAAACUACACAUGUAGCAAAGAUCAAAGCGACCAAGCGGUCAAAGAUGG
rnacentral:rRNA from 1 species